UUAGAUCUUCAAUAACGAAGGGUUAUUUUGCGGACAUUAAAAUGCACAAUUUUCAGUCGUUAAAAUCAAAAUUUAAGGCGCCAGCAUUUUUCCCCGCCCUCCCCCACCCAAAACUGCAUUUCCCCCAAAAUAAAAAUCAAAAGGGCAAAAAUUAAGACACAAACACAAAGCCUGUCGUGUCUCUACCUUCUCAGAUAACCACCUUCUCUCCCGAUUUGGAUUCAUUGCCAUGUAGGUUUAUUCAGAUCCUACUGUCGUGUGAAUAUUCUUGGAGGGAGUUAUCAGAAAAUCAUUGCUUAGGGUUGGUGUAUUCCUUGAUUUAGAUUGUGAGUAAUUUGACUGUAGUAGCUCGACACCAUUUGAAUAAGGUAAGCUAAGCCUACUUCUCAGAUAAAAUUGUCACUUAGACAUUUUAUUUCCAGUGUUCUGGAAAUUAGAGUGCUAAUGUUGUCUCUACAUUAGAAUAUGUAGUGUCAUAAAAGAAUAAAACAAGUGAAGGACUGUUUGUAUAUAGAUGCGCCAAACUGGUAGAACUAAAAAUAGCAGCCUACAUAUGAAUUCUCUUAAUCUAUUCCUAGUACUUGAGAGAAGGAGUUUCCAUUUCAUGGUUGUCUAAAAUUCGAGCAAUUUAAUAUUGGCCAUUAGCUUCUUAUCAUCGAGUACUCUGUAAAUUUGUUGACCAUACAUGCACUAAGACCAAUCCCUUAGAUAUUCUGUGUCAGGGAUGAUUCUUAGAGUGCUUAGUUACAGUUAUUUUUUAAUGAAUUUAAAAAGGUCGAUUAAUGAAUAGACAUGCUUUGAAUAGUUGGAAAUGGAGAGGGAAUACGAAUAGAUGCUGUGCUCUUUGACUAAGAAGAUAGUCAAUAAAUUCUUUAUAAAUAUUCUUUGAUAAUAUUUUUGCAUCUAGAUUCUUGCCCUUAAGCCCUUCAACUAUAGCCCUGCUUGAAGGAACUUGUUCAUUGUUACACUGUGAUACAAGGAUCUCUUUUCAUUACUUUUGUAAGAACUGAAAUGAACCAAGGACCAAAAUAAACAACUAUAAGGACCAAAAUAUUUAUACUGGCAGUGAAGGGCUUUUAUAUUUCCUGGCAUUUAUACUUAUUGAUCUCAUUUCCUUCAUGUUUGUAUUAGCAGUAAUGUCAUUAGCAAACCACAUGGUAAUACUUCGAUAAUGAAUUACUUAUCCUCUUCAUGUACACUAAUUUUUAAGGUGUUCCUUUUUUCUCUUUUGGGUUUCUUGUGGACGGGUUUGUUUUCCUUUCUCUGAGGUUUGUUAUGGAGAUAUUCUAGGUGUUUCAAUAGAUCAAUGCUUGAAGAAUCCUCAUACAGAUGACAAUUGGUCCAGACUUCUAAUUUUGUAAUAGUUGUAUUUUUGCAAAUUGGAUCAUGUUGAUUAAACUAUUGAUGAGACUGCAUAAAGUUAGCUUUGUUGUGUUCUUAAUAAUAAGAGGUUGUAUUGGUAGUCUUUAGUGAGAAUUUUUGUUUAUUUUCCUCUCAUUUUCAAGUUAUCCUUUUCUCAAUUAGCGGACAAAUAUUAGACUACCAGGGAAAAACUAUUAGAACAGGUGGAAAUAUCUUAUUGUCCAUAGCACAUUUCAACCUCUAACAAGAAUCAUUUGUUUCUUAAUCUGAACUUGUGCAGGAUAUGUGCUUUCCAUUACUUGUGGAUAGUGGCCUCAUUGGUUAAAUUAAAGUGGUGCCAUAAAAAUAAAGUAGUCAAAUUUAUACUGACCAAAUUUUUUGUUGGUCAUCAUAGUCAAUUUUCAGUUUAGUAUUAAUAAGGGGAUAAUAUCUGAAGCAGUAAUUAUUUCUAGUAUGCUUAUAGUCAACAUCGUUUAAUAACAAUGUUUUGCCCUACUUAUUGCCUAUGUCCGGAAAAAGAAAUGGAGAAAAAUGGGAGUCUCAAUGUGAGAUCCGUUGCCGCAUUUUCUUUGCUUAAGCGUGCAUACAAUCAGAGUCUUAUUUUAAUUAUUCUCUUUAUCCUUGACUUGUCGCUGCCUGUCUUAAAUUGUUAUAGUAUCUGGCCUUCUCUAUUUAUUUUCAGUCUCACAGGUAUUUUCUGAACUUUAUUAUUUGCAGUGAUAUGAAGGCUUCUUAUUUGUGAUUUUUCUGUUGGAAUUAAAAAAAAAAAAAAAAAGGCCAUUCCGACAAACAUGCUCUUUUUUGUUUUUAGUUUCAUCAGUGUAUUCUUAAAGUGAUCCCUUAAAAUAUGCCUUGUAUGUUGUGAUAUUCAUGAAUUCAUGCCUUUGUUUCUUCAAUUUAAAUUAAAAGGCGUUGGUGCUUUGGCUUUGAGAGAAGGAUCAGGUAAAGAUGUUGAAGCUGGUGGUCUUAAUUCAUUACUGAUGCUUUUUAGUAAUUCCGAGAAUGAUACCAUCGCAAAAUAGCAGCUAGUAAAAUGGUGAUUCUCAAUCUAUAGCUCUCUUUUUCUCUCUUUAUUUCCCCUACAGAGGAUACUUUAUGUCCUUGUCUAGGCCCUUUGUAUCCUAAGAGCUACUAUGUUCUGAGGAGUAUGCCAACCAGGAACUUAUAAUAAAUCAAGGUGGAAUUACGCUGUUAGCGGAGCACUGCUGAUGCUGAGGAUCCUCAUUUGAUAAAAUUAGUAAAGUGACCAACUCCUUCAUUGACUUAAUUAACUGUUAAUAUGUGUUAAUGCUGUUUUCAUUUAAAAAGGAAGGACUUCUUAAGUUCUGUAUAGUAAAAACCAGCAAAAUCUCCCUUCCAAAAAGGUAAUAUUUCCUAGACAUGCUCCAAUGCAAAUUAUUAAUUGUUUGUAGUCAGUUAAUGUACAUGUCUAGAAAAUGAUCUGAUGGCAUGGAUUAAUACAUAUACUUUCAGAGUUCUUUUUUCCUAAGCUUGUAAUUGUCCACCUUUUAUAUAUUUCAAAUUCUCUGCGUGGACAGGUUCUCUCCUAAUUUCUUUCUACUAUCAUCAUAGGUUGAUCUUUCCUACUACUAGGCCAACUUAAAAGUCUGUUAGCGAAAAGAUUUAACGUCAUGGCUAGUGCUAUAACUUGACAAAUGCUAGUAGAAUAGAUUACUUUAUUUUUAGAACUUUCUCUAGGUUGAAAUCUAAAUUGCUUCCUAUUGAAACAGAAGAUAUACUUUCUUGAAGCUAUUGAUGGUUUGCAUUUGUUCAAUCAAAAUAGUACUCAAAGUAUUUAGUUAGUGAUUAAUUAUUCAUUUGUUUUCUAAAUGAAGUAGCUGUAGGAAUUCUGUCACUUAAUUGACAUGAAUUUGUUCUUUUAACAGAUCACGACUUUGAAGUUCUAAGAACAUGUCCUCUGAAGAGAUUUCAGAGCAAGUACAAGGGCAAUUGGUUUUUAUUUUGUUAGUGGUGUUUUAAAUCAUUUGUACAUAUGCUACAAUUCUACCUUUUUAGUUUUUAAGGAGUUGAUAAAAGUAAUGUCAUACAACUUGGAUGUUUAUAUUUUUUUGAAAUAUAUACCUUUAGUUCAUUGCAAUUAACAGUGUAACUUUAUAAUAACAUUCAUUUUUUGGUAUAUUUUUCGAUGCGGAUGUGUAUAUGUAAGUGUGUUAAAGCAUAUGAAUUAAUGAUUACUAUUCCGUAAUCACUUCGGAAAAUAUAUAUUUAUCUAAUUAUAUUUAAUAAAAAUUUACAUUAGUGAAGGGAAGUGUGGUCUUUAAAACCCUUUAACGAUCGGAUUGUUGAAUCCUUAAAUGGGCAUUAACGAAGGGAAUUUCCCAAUAGCGAAGGGAAAAUUAGUCGCUAAAAGUAAAUACAACGACUGGAAUUUUUCCGUCGCUAAAAUAUCUUUUACGACCGGGCCUCAAAUUCGGUCGUUAACCUUUAACGACAAGGCUUUUAGCGACCAGUGACGACCGGAUUGUUUCCGGUCGUUAUAGACUUAUAGCGACCGAAUUUGAACUUUUAACGAUUGGAUUUCCCCUCGCUAAAGGUCAUUUUUCUUGUAGUGGGAUUGGAUAUUCUUAAAAGUGUCACCAAUGAAGGGUGUAAUGAGAUUUGACAAAAAGGGGAAGCUUAGUCCCCGAUACAUUGGGCCUUAUGAGAUUGUGCGCAAAGUAGGCAAAGUGGCCUAUGAGUUAGAUCUACCUCCUGAUUUGGAGUCAUUUCACCCAGUUUUCCAUGUCUCGAUGCUUCGUAAAUGUGUUGGAGAUCCUACUAGGAUCGUGCCAUUAAAUGAUGUUCAAGUGACAGAAAAGUUAACUUAUGGAGAGAUACCCAUUGCCAUAUUAGAUAGGCAAGUAUAGAGGCUUAGAAACAAAGAAGUGGCCUCAGUUAAGGUUUUAUGGAGAAACAAUAAACGAGAAGAAACGACAUGGGAAGCGGAAGAACUUAUGAGAUCCAAGUACCCACACUUAUUUCAGCCCCUAGAAGAAAUCCAAGAUGAGACAUCAAGAUCUUAAGGUACGUAUGUUUUCCUUUUAUGCUUUUGGGUCGUGUGUGGCCAAACUCUAUUGCUUUUAUGUUGUGGCCCUAUAAGGCAUUGUUAUUAUGGGCUAUUGUGACAGGAUGGUAGUGCCAUAUUACAGGGGAAACUCUGGCGAAAUUUUUAUAGAAUCCCCGAGGACUUAACAUUCGAGGACGAAUGUUCUUAAGGAGGGAAGAAUGUUACACCUCGAAAAAAAUUUCGUUGAUGCACAGUGAAUAGACUAAUGAAGAGCACGAGUAUACGGUAUGUCAAUAAGUAAGGAAUAACGUUUGAUGACCCUAAUUAAGAUUUCAAAGACGUUCGAGGUAGGGGAAGAAAGUUUUCCAAGAGAUGGCACGGCAUACGAUAGGUAUCGAAAAGGAAUUAUAAGUAACAAGUUAACAAGGAUUUAAAAAUGCUUGGGAGAAGAGUUAUAACGUCCCUUAGAUUGUUAAUGAGGUGAUAGAAAAGUGCUAAGAAGGUUCCAUAAGGAUUGGAGAUCAAACGAGUCGACGAGAACAGACUUCUGAAAACUGGGCAUUAUACGGCCAAACAUAUUGGCCGUAUAAAACAUACAGACCGUAUGUUCAACCGUAUAAUCAGCCCAGAUUAGCAUCCCUCUCUGGACCAAAUCUACGGCCAGACAUAUGGUCAGUAUAAUUUAUACGGACCGUAUGUUGGUUCGUAGAAACUGAUCGGGACAGAUUUGUGUUAUUAAUUAGGGAUCCAAGCCUUAUUUCAUUUCCUUUCACACCCCUUCUCUCUAAAACAUCUCUCUACACUUCUCCCACAAGAAUUCAAGAGGUAUUAGUGAUCAAAUACACCAAACUAAGUGAAUCAAGCGUAAAAAACCCAUUAAAAUUCAUCCAAGGCAAGGGAUCCAAGUGAAGGUAAAACUAGAGUUUUGCUCAAGUGAGGAGUUUCCACCCAAGGGUCAUCCCUACACCAUCUAAGGUAAUAUUUAUGGUAUUUCCAUGCUAUUUAAGGUAUUUGAAAGUUGAAACACUUGGAUUGUAGAAGGAUAUAGAAAAAUGAGUCAUGAAUGUGGAAAUAGUGCCAUUUUGAGUAAUAGCUUGAAUUGAGUCAUGAUUCUUAAUGUGUUGUGAUAUGGUUAUGUUAUAAAUGAUUUUAAGAAUAAGGGAUAGGCAUUGGAUAUGAAUGAACGUAAUCGUGUGUUAUGACCAUGGAUAUGGAUGAUUGGAAGUGAAUUGAGAAAUAUGGAUAAUGUAGAUGAAUAAAGACUAUUGUUAUGAUAUUGUGAAUGUAUUAUUGACGUUUGAGAGUUGAUAUACGAUAUGGAGGAAGUCGUAUAAAUAAAGGAGAUGCUGUCCAAUUCUCUCUAGCUUUAGUCAUGUAUGUUAAGUCAUCGACAUUCUAAUGAUAGUAUAACUCUAAUGAAGGUAGAAACGUGAGCAUUGAAGGAGAACGUGCAAGUGAUAGAAUAGCUGAACGGAAAUAUAUGUAAGGCUAACCCUUCUUUCAUAAGGCAUGGUUUUUUUGCCAAAUAUCUAUUCUUCUAUGAUGUCCUCCAAAUGAUUCUAUCUUCAAAAGCUACUAAGCUUAUGAUUCUCGAUAUGUUACGAUUCUACUAAGAUCCUCAUAUGACGAGUAAUCCUAUAAGGACAGAUGUAAGGAACGACGAUAAUAGUGAUAACGAUAACGAUGACAACGUUAAUAGUAAUGAUGCUAAAGAUUCUUAUGAGCUUUUAUGUAUAUGUGUCUAUUGUUAUACCCCGUAUUUUUCGCGUUCGGAUAGUUUGAGAUAAUUGUGACAAGUUAAGGACAAGAUUAUAAUUUGACCUUGUUUGGUACAUAAGUUGGUUAUGAAAAUUUUGGAUGUGGAAAUAUGAGGAAAGGCUAAGGGUAAGAAGGUAAAUUCACAAAGUGACUCAAGAAGAUAUUGGGAAAGUCUAAGGGCAAAAUUGGAAUUAGCAAAUCAUGUAUUCAUGAAAAAAAAUAAAAAAGAAAGAAAGAAAAGGAAAAAGAAAAUAAAAAUAAGGGACAUGUGCCAUGCACAUGGAUGUGGGCCAUGUCCCACAUGACCUUAAUAUAUGGCACAUGAAUGGAAUUUCAUCACAUUUGAAUUUGGAAAAUUCAAGAAACUUGAAGAGGAGAAAAUAGAGAAAGAAGAAGAAAAGACCAUGGCCAUUUCGGCCAAGAGGAGGGGGUUUUACCCCUAUGAAAUUUUGUCCCAAAAAUUGAUUUCUUCAUGUAUUCCUACUAAUUCAAGAGUCCUCUUCAACGUGGUAUAAUUGUUGAAGCAAGAAAAUCAUCCUUUGUUGCAAAAUCACAACCCUAGUCAAGUGAAGAAGUUAGAAGGAAAAGGUAUGAUUUAAUUCCUUUUUAUAUGUUAUGAAGGGUUCAUUUAUGUUGUAGUAAGUGGAAAUGGAAGAAAAUCAUGAAACCAUGCAAGUUGGAAGCUUGGCCGUGUGUGUGCAUGUUGUGUAGAAAAGAUGAACUAAAUUUUAUAUGGUGAUUUGGUUGUUGUUGAUAAGUAUUCUAUGAUGAAAAUGAGAAUUUGAUGGUUCAAGUUGGAGUUGAGAUUAGUAUGUGUAGCCGUGUGUGUGUGUUGUGUGUAGGAAUGAUGAAAUAAUUUUAUGUAGUAUUUUGGUUGUUGUCAUUAUGUAUUUUAUGAUGGGAAUGAAAGUGGUAAGGUGCAAAUUAUGAUUGUCAUUAAUGAAAUAGGAAGGUAAGAAUGAAUUAUGAAUGUUUAUGUUGAGAAAUGGGAAGUUUAGGUGAAUUACGGUCUUGGUGGAAAGUUGAACAUUUUUGUAUAUCUUAUGAAUAUUUUGCGGAAAUGGUAUGGAAUGCUCCCAAUUUGCAUUGUAAUGAUCGUGAUUGAUGAUGAAUAUGAAAAUAGUAAGAUUGGUUUGGAAGUGUGAAGUCGGAAUGAAAGAUAUUGUGUUAUGUCGGAAAGAUGGCUAGUUAUGCCAUAUUAUGUGUUUUGUAGUACUUGUUGUUAUUGAUGUUGUUGUUGGGUUGUUGUGGAUUGUUUUGGCUACGUUAAACUUUUGGGGAUGUUGAAUUUAUAGGGGAAAUGCUGCCGGAAUUUCGGUAGACAAAUAUGAAUCUAAAUUGAAUUCUUAAAAAGUUCACA